GGUUAAGGGUAUAGGGUUUAGGAUUUGGGGUUUAGGAUUUAGGGUUUUAGGGUUUAGGGUUUGGGUUUUAGGAUUUGGGGUUUGAGGUGUAGGGUUUGGGGUUUAGGAUUUUAAGAUUUCAGGGUUUAGGGUUUUAGGGUUUAAGGAUUUAGGGCUUAGGGUUUUAGGGUUUAGGGUUUAGGAUUUGGGAUUUAGGGGUUAGGAUUUGGGGUUUAGGGUUUAGAUUUUAGGGUUUAGGGUUUAGGGUUUGGGGUUAAGGUUUUAGGGUUUUAGGGUUUAGGAUUUGGGGUUUAAGAUU
rnacentral:lncRNA from 1 species